GGCUUGAUGGCCGAGUGGCUAUCGGUACCAAAGGUAUCGGGUUCGAAUCCCGGUGAUGCCCAUGGAUUUUGUAGUGGUUCAGAAUCCACUUUAAGCCG